GGAUAGCUGUAUGAAAACUAAACUGAAAUGGUUCUUUCUGAAUGUCUGAUAUGUAAUUCUUUUUUGCCUACAGAGUCCUAAAGACUGUCUUGGCUGACAGAACCUGUCGAAGGCUCACUCUCUAAUGGAGCGCCUGAAUCAACUGAGGAUCUCAUCGUUGAAGUCAAGAGACAGUGUUGUCUUCAGGGCAGUUUCAGACUUCAGUUUAUGGAUUCCUUGUUUGGGAAUGAGUUUCUUAACCUUACCUCGGUUUCAGAAGUAGCAGAUAAAGGGAUUCUUAAAGCUAUUGACAUGUCAAAGCCCACCACAUGGACAUAAAAAAGAGUAACAGAGUUGGUGAAACUCAAGAUGGAAAAGACUUUUUCAUACAGAAGACAUGAAGUUGUUCGUGAUGCACCAAUGGUGGAAGCUUUCAUGGCAAGAUGGCCUGCUCUAUUUGAUUUCCAUGAGAUCAACGCUGAGUUUAAGAGAAUUGCCACCAUCCCCCCUCAAACAAAGUUCCUGGCUCAGCUGGAUCUCCACUUGGACAACCUGGUGAAGUUGGUCAACAGAAGAGGAGAGCUUGGACUAAUACUGAAAAAAUUGUGGCAAAAUGGAUAAUUGUGAAGAUGAUGAUGCUGAAUGUGUAUCUACAUGGGUGAAGACCCUGGCAUGCUUAUCCGGGAGUAUGUGGUCAUGGAAGAACGUGCCAUCAAUGAGACUGUUGAAGACACCACUGUUCGAAUUUAUCUUCUUAAAGAACAAGCUUCAGCAGAUGAACAUGAGUUGUCCUUGCAGGCAUCAGGGUGGCGAAGAAUUUGGAUAAUAAAGCAUUUGCUGUGAUAAUGCUAUUUGGACUCAUGUAUGCAUUAAACCUUGCCUACUCUGCUGACCUCCGCUACACCUUUGACAUUUUCCAGAAGGUUUUCAUGGAACUGGAUGGAGCUAAACUCUCUAAAGUUCUUGCUUUUAGAAACCAUCUGUUUCAUUGAGAAGUCAGAGACUGCACUUCUGCAAUUCUUUGCAGUUUUUCAUUUUGUGUUCAGUAACGUUAUACUGCUUAUGUUUUUAUUGCUUUCCCCUCAUGUGACUGCAAUGCAGGAUGAUUUUUCCUUUUGGUAUCAUGUUGUAAGACAUUUGUACUGAUGAUUUUUAGCAAUAUGUUCUGAGUCAACCUUAAUGUCCUGCUUACAUGUUUAAAAGGAAGAAUAGAUUCAUGUAGGUGUUUGGUAUUAGUUAUGUAACAAUGUCAUUUAAGGCUCAACUUAGUUGAAAUCUUGUACAGGUAAAUACUUGUACAGAAGCUGAAAUUGUUGUCAAAUAAUACACAAGUUAUAUUUGUGUAAAUCUGUUUAUUCAUAAAAGUGUGUUGCUUUUUUUCAGGUAGUCUUAAUUUAGUCUAAUUUUUUUAAUUGUGUAAUUAAUACAAAUGUUAUAUGUAAGAGAUGACAGGAUCAUCUAUAAGCACUUUCUAUUAUUGGCUGCUAAGGUCAGUUUUUUGUGAAAUAUUUGCAAAUGUUUUAAAUUUUUCUUUUAGUUACUUCUGCAGGCUAUCUUUAAGAAUGUGUUAACAAGUUUAUAUGGAUGUGAUUUUGGACUUGAUCAUGGCAGC